GAGGCCGUGGACCCUUUCAUUGCCUUGGCCGGGAGGAGGGCGGGGUUCGGAGAGGGGCCGUUCCGCGCUUAUUGGCCCCAGGAACCACCACUACCCCUGGAAUUCCAGGCAGAUAGGAGUCCCGGAAGAAAGAGGCGGGUGGAGGUCGCCGGGCGGUUGGCCUGAAGGAGUUCUAGCAGUCAAAGUUGCAUACCUUUCCUUGGAAUAAUAGAGGGCCUCCCUAAACGUGAGGAGAUGUACACUGGCCUUUUCAGUGCCCUGGAGGCUGCCGUUGUCCGUGUGCCUCUGGGACAGCAGCAGCCCCUAGAGCUGCUCUGGAGAAGGGCCAGAGAUAAAAGGUGCUGGGAAGAGGAAACCAGCCAGGAGCGGUAGACUUUUUUCUUCAAGGUUUGCUCAUCGCCCCACAAGUGUCUUCAGAUCCCUCCCCACCUUAGGAUCCAUUCCAUCUGUGUCAGCCCGUCAGAGGGAACUGAAGACGGUCUUCAAUGCCGAGCAGGAAGAUUAUAUGUGAAAUUUUGUUUGACGAUGAACGUGUAUCUCGCUGAGUUCUCUCUGACUGUGGAUUCUCAUCUCCUCCCCUCCCAACAUUAGAGUCCACCUUUGUUCUGUUUCCUUGAAGUGUCUAAGGUGAGGGAAAGGGAAGAUGAUGGGCCAGGUGCAGAGUAGAUGGUGGGGACUGGCUCCUAAGGAGUGUAGUAUUGAAGGGACCUGAAGAGGAGGAGGAGGUUGGGCAGCCCUGGUGCCAGGGGGUAGGAGGAGGGCUUCUGUCACUUCUCCAGGUUGGCACCUUCAUACUUCCCUUCUGCGUUCCUGGUAUUACUGAACUAAUACCCUCUGUGAACUUGAGAAGGGCUGCCUGUGGCUCUCCAAGGGUCAGGAGAAAGGGGGAGGCCAGAAGUCAUGAGUGGUGAAAAGCAAAAAUAUAAGCUUAUGAGGCUGAGAAAGGAGGCAUGGAAAGGAAGGUGAGGCCAAGACAUAUCCCUGAGAGCAGGCACCAGCAAGAGGCCACCACCCUUGAGAUCUGAAACUGUCUGGCUUCACGGUCAGUCUCACCACAAGGCAAGGGUGGUGCUGAGUAAAUGUGGGAGGAGAACCAGAGCAUUUCCCACUCAGAGUUUCUCAUCCUCUGUGGAGCUGAGAGUACCGCAACUUCGAGCCAGGAAUCCUGAGUUCCCAAGGAGUGGGGCCUUUAGCUCUAGGACUCUUAUUCUCAUUUAAAGUUUCCAGUGAACUGUCACCUCUACCAGAAAGUUGUCCCUGACUUCCCCUGUCUGUCUAGGGGCCCUUCCUCUUGCCUUCUGUGGCUCUCAUUCUACUCCUAUCACAGUACAAUGCAUUAUAAUGGACUGUUCACUUGUAUUCUCGUUAGACCGUGAGUUCCUCCAAGGAAGGGUCAGUCUUUUCAUCGAUGUCCUAACACAGGACCUGGCACAGAAUAGGUGCUCAGAGAAUAUAGAUGCUUGACUGAAUAAGUGAGUGAGCAAAUUCCUUUAGGAGGGGAAGAGAGACUCCAUAUUCCAGGCAAAGCCCUGAAAUUCCAUAAGGAGAAUGAGAGUUAGUGUCCUCUGGUCUUUGACUCUGGCCAGGACAACAAUUCACAAUUCUGUGCCUGUCAAACUAGAUUUUCUUGUCUUUCCCCUGGUCUCUUAGGAUCUUAAGCCUGUCCAGAUGUGGCUUUUGGUUUUGAUGCUUCUGACUUGAUACUGCCAACCUGUGGUAUUAGUGCCCCAUUACAACAGGGAAGCUUGGUUGAAAGGGCAGAUUUUAGGCUGAGUCACAAUGCGGGUGGGCAGGGACCAGGAUUCCACUAGAGGAAUUCUGAUCUCUGUUCAACAGUGCAGGAUCGGGUGAGGUGCAGAGGUGAACAAGUGUUAGUGCCCAUAGAUCAAGGCCUAGCCUGAGGGCCUGGGAGAGUCAAAUUCAAGCACUGGUGUGGGAGUCAUUGCCCACCUUUCAGAUGAAGAAGACUGCAGUUUGAACCAGGGGAAUGGCAAUUAUACCUCAGACACUACUUGAGGGGCUGCAGUGAUGACAGCCUUUUUUUUUUUUUUUAAACUUUUGGCCACACCAUGCAGCAUGCGGGAUCUUAGUUCCCUGACCAGGGAUUGAACCCGUGCCCCCUGCAGUGGAAGUGUGGAGUCUUAACCACUGGACCACCAGGGAAUUCCCCAUGACAGCCUUUUAAUGGAGUUCCACCAAGGGGACUAAGGCCUUUUGCCAUAUCAGAGCAACAAGUCACCUGGAAACUGUCCAGGGUCCUGGGCCAUCUCUGCCUUAGGAUCUGUUUGGUGCAGGGUAUCUGAGCCUUCGUUCAACCACCUGUUCCUGCCUGGUUUUAUAUGAAUAUCCCCACUUUUUGUCUGCAUCCACCCUCAUCUACCUUGGCCUACCUGCCUGCUCUCCUCCCAGAUUCCAGGCAGGUGGCAUUGCCAUUUCCACAAGGGCUAUUCAUUGAACGGGCAGGUUCCUAGAUCCUGUUGGAUGGAAGGAUGUCCAUGGGCCUGUCACCAGCCCCUGAAAGGCUGCCUGGGCUCACCUGUUUGGAUGGCAUUCAGGGCUGCCUCCU